rnacentral:lncRNA from 1 species
AAACGGUCCCCUGGGACUUCAGGUGAAGGAGUCAGUCCAGUUAUUACUGUCCGACCAGUAAACGUGACAGCCGAAAAGGAGGUUUCCACCGGCACUGUCCUUCGCUCUCCCAGGAAUCACCUCUCCUCACGGCCUGGUGCAAGCAAAGUGACGAGCACUAUCACCAUAACACCGGUCACAACGUCAUCUGCUCGAGGAACCCAGUCAGUGUCAGGACAAGACGGGUCAUCCCAGCGGCCUACACCCACCCGCAUUCCUAUGUCAAAAGGUAUGAAAGCAGGAAAGCCAGUAGUGGCAGCCCCAGGAGCAGGAAAUCUGACCAAAUUCGAGCCUCGAGCUGAGACUCAGUCUAUGAAAAUAGAGCUGAAGAAAUCUGCAGCCAGCAGCACCACCUCUCUCGGAGGGGGGAAGGGCUGAGGGCAGUGGCUAAGGGGGUAUGUUGUGCAGAUGCUACUGCUGCCGUGAAAGUGAACCUUCAUCUGUUUGUGCCAGUUCUUUACAUGUACUAAUUUAAGUUUUAAAUAUUGUGUUUAUAAAAU